rnacentral:lncRNA from 1 species
ACGGAUAUUGCUACAUUGGAUCAACAAUCCAGGCCCAAUGGCCCAUCACUCCCUAUAUCUCACAACCGCAAAGAUCGCAAAGCCUAUAACUGAAGGACCCCCACAAAAUCACGUGCAACUUCUUACUCAGCAGUAGUCAGUAGGGUUCUACUAUAAGUAGUAACUUUAACCCUCUUUUUCUUUCCGCCGUCACCUUCUCUUUGCAGCAAAACUUUCACCAACUUUCGCUUCACAUGCUUUCAGAUUCCUUUGCUAAGCACGUCUCUCACCUCUUUUAUCCAUUCUCAACCGUUUUCACCUCUCUCUUUUUCUCUCUAUAUAUCCCAAUCAAGCUCAGAUCUACUUCACAACUCUUUGAUCUUGUUUUGGAUCUACUUAUUAAUUAAUUUUCCUGCAGUUGGAUCGAUGAAUUCUGGAUCAGUUAUUUAAUGCUCGUGAAUGCUCGUGAUGUGUCGCGUUCGUGCCUCGUCAGAGCUGUGCUUUGCUUCGUCGACGAAGCUUGUGGCUCUGAAUACUGUGAUUCCUUUGAUUAGAUACAAUAGAAGGAUUCUGUAUAACGGUUGACAUGAGUUUAUCUCGUUUUUAAAGAUAUCUUUGCAUUUCAUAUGAGAUUUAAAGUUUUUAUUGGUAAUAUAAAUCUCACAUGAAAUUUAAAUUUAUAUUUUAAAGUUAAGAUAAAGUCAUGUCACCGUUAAUACAGAAUCCUUCAAUUAUAUUUAGUCAGGGGAGCUCUUUUAAUUUUGCUGAAAUUGUUACUUUGCAUCAUUGUUGAUUUUCAUUGUUAAUUUUCAUUUUAAUGUGGAAUACUAGUAAAUGUCAUGAAUAUGAUGUUAAGAAAACUUUCAGUGUUCUUUCUCCUGUUUUAUUCAUGUGAAUUAUUCCGUUGACUCUGCUUAUGUAUUUAGUUAUUUUCUUCUUUUAAUUUUUUUAACUGAAAAAUCUUUUCUUAUUGACAUCCAAACCUUCAAACUAACCCUGGCUCGAAGAGUAAUUAUAAGUUGAACAAACAAAGUAAUCAUUAUAAGAAAUUAUCCCCUCUUGAAACUUCUCCUCAAAUCAAUUCCUCACAAAUUCCUCGCAAACAAACAGAACCCCAACAAAAUUGAAACAAAGAAACCCCAAAUUCAUGAUAAAGCAAAACCCCAUCAGAAACAAUAUAAAACCAUUCAGCUAACCAAUUUUCACUUUUGCACCUGGUUUGAGGUCCUGCGAAAGAAGAAGGAGAAGAUGAUGAUGUUCACGUUGAUGAUGGGCACGUCCGUUGANNNNNNNNNNNNNNNNNNNNNNNNNNNUUAUUAAAUAUAUUUAAAAGUAAUUAUAAGUUGAACACACACAUAAAUAAUAUAAUUAAGCUAUGUAUAUGUAGUAAGUAGGGAAAUGAAAAAAAUAAGAUAAGAGGGUGUGUACAAGAUAAUUAAGGAAGAAGGAGACAAAUGAUGAAGAUCAGAGAUGUAUUAUUGAACUAAGGGAGUGUUUGUUUUGGCUUUGGAGAGGUGAAAGUUAUAUGGUGGCAUUCUUCAAGCCUCUCUCAAUUUGAUUUUGUCAAUUUGAUUUUUUUUUUUUAAUUACUUGUAAGGCACAAUGAAUGAAUUAAUAAAUUUGUGAUUUCAGUGAUUUUGGAUCUCUCGCAUAAUCAAAUAAGUGGAUCAAUUAAUAUAAAUGUAUUAUCUCAUAAUCAUUUUU